rnacentral:rRNA from 1 species
UUGGAGGGCAAGUCUGGUGCCAGCAGCCGCGGUAAUUCCAGCUCCAAUAGCGUAUAUUAAAGUUGUUGCAGUUAAAAAGCUCGUAGUUGAAUUUCGGGGUCAGUAGGUUGGUCGUGCCACUGGUACGUACUGGUCUCACUGAUUCCUCCUUCCUGAUGAACCGUAAUGCCAUUAAUUUGGUGUUGCGGGGAAACUGGACUGUUACUUUGAAAAAAUUAGAGUGUUUAAAGCAGGCUAACGCUUGAAUACAUUAGCAUGGAAUAAUGAAAUAGGACGUUCGAUCCUAUUUUGUUGGUUUCUAGGAUUGACGUAAUGAUUAAUAGGGAUAGUUGGGGGCAUUAGUAUUCAAUUGUCAGAGGUGAAAUUCUUGGAUUUAUUGAAGACUAACUACUGCGAAAGCAUUUGCCAAGGAUGUUUUCAUUAAUCAAGAACGAAAGUUAGGGGAUCGAAGACGAUCAGAUACCGUCGUAGUCUUAACCAUAAACUAUGCCGACUAGGGAUCGGAUGAUGUUAAUUUUUUAAUGACUCAUUCGGCGCCUUACGGGAAAC